CCUGACUGUGAGGACAUUAAAUGGAAGCUGCGUUUACUAAUGGGGGCUGGUAGGCUGUAGAAGCAUCGGGAAGCGGCCGAAGCGUCGGGAAGCGGCCGCGGCGCCGGGAUGCGUUAGGGGGCAGCUGCUGCAGGUCAUGGAUUUCCCCAGGUAUUGAAGUUAAACUGAUUGGUCUGUAGUUUCCUGGGUCUGUCUUUCCCCCUCCUUUUUUUGAAGAUGGGAACCAUAUCAGCCUCUUUCCAGUCAUCUGCCUACCUAGGUUUAUCUCCCAGGAGUGCUGGUAUAUUGUGAAUUCUACAAUGGACAAGAAGAACUAUGGAGGGUCGCCACAUGGAGAAGCUCCUCUCCUGAGGACAGUGCCUAUAAUCCAGACAGGAGAGACUGACUUGUCAGGGCGGGCUCACCCGAAGCAGAACGCUAGAUCAUUAGAGCCAAUUCGAACUACUGAAGGAGGAAGAGAUACAGAAGUUCCUUGUCUGGCACCAUGAACUACAUAGACUAGCCCAGGGGUCGGCAACCAUUUGGACCAGUUUACCACAGAAAAGAAAACACUGGGAGCCACAAAACCCUUUUGACAUGUAAAAUGAUGAUAACACUGCAGAUAUCAUUUUUUACCUUUAUGCUAUGUAUAAAAAAACUGUAGUGUGUUGCAUUUAUGAAAUCAAUGAACUGCUACAAGAAAAACAAAUUUUUAUUUCUGCGUGCAACAAAAACAUUUUGAACUCCCCCCAAAAAAAGACGCUGGAUCAAAGGUUACUUUCAAAUAAAAUACUCAAUGUCUAUUUGAGUCCUCCUUGUAUUUAUGAAAUAAAAAGCCGGUGCAAACUAUAAAAACUACAAAUAGAAAAAUAGAAAAGAAACAAAUUGUGGGGGGGAGAGAGAAAAG